ACCUGCUAUAGUUUAAAUAAAACAUUGAAUUGCAAGUUCGAAAAUGGAAUUAAAUAUUCUAGCAAGUU
rnacentral:tRNA from 1 species